rnacentral:rRNA from 1 species
UGGGGAAUAUUGGGCAAUGGGCGAAAGCCUGACCCAGCAACGCCGCGUGAAGGAAGAAGGUUUUCGGAUUGUAAACUUCUUUUAUCAGGGACGAAGAAAGUGACGGUACCUGAUGAAUAAGCCACGGCUAACUACGUGCCAGCAGCUGCGGUAAUACGUAGGUGGCAAGCGUUAUCCGGAUUUACUGGGUGUAAAGGGCGCGUAGGCGGGGAUGCAAGUCAGAUGUGAAAUCUAUGGGCUUAACCCAUAAACUGCAUUUGAAACUGUAUCUCUUGAGUGUCGGAGAGGUAGACGGAAUUCCUAGUGUAGCGGUGAAAUGCGUAGAUAUCACGAAGAACUCCGAUUGCGAAGGCAGCUCGCUGUAGCAUUACUGACGCUGAAGCUCGAAGGUGCG